CCCGAGCAUCCAUGUUACUGGAGACAGGCCUGCCAUUAGGGGGUGACAACCAUGGCUUGUAGUUAUGCUGGUAAUUUUUAACCACCCUCCUGUUUCUUACCUUUUGGGUGCAGGAGGGUGGUCUCUGCUGGCUGGGGCAGGUAGGAGUUAGGGUCUGGCUUUCUCCUUUUCUCUGCCUCCUCCCUCCUACGCGGGUGUUAUUUGGGGGGAAGUAACCAACGCUCACUUCCACAGCGCUGACCGGGCAGCUUAAGACAUAUGCCCAUUUGAUGGGCCCCC